AUGAACUGCUGGACGGCAUUGCCAUGGCAGAUUUACUUGGUAGUUAAAAGACCUUCAAGAAUGAUUGAGCAGCAGCAACCUGCAACCAUUAAACCACGAUGAAGUCUUCAAGCACCACGGUCGGCAGAUAUAAACAUGGCGUCCAGUUUACCUACGCAGCAGGAGUUGCGACUACUGAAAGACAAAUUAAACCUAUUCUACGACCAAAGGGUCAUUAUACCACGAGAUGAGAUGAAAAGAAACAAGGAAAUCGUAGAAAACGUGAAAAAGAAUAUCAAAGAAUAUUUGUCCAAGAAAAAGAACGUCGAGAUCCUGCAACUAGAAAACAUCGGUAGCGUCUAUGAAGGCCUGAAGGUUGGAUCUGCCGACGAAUUUGACCUUUUGAUGCUUCUUAAAGGCCAUGUUGAUUGGGAAGUUAUCGACAAGGAUGAUCGUGGAUUUUGUACCAUAAGGACCUGUCGACCAUUAGAUAACGCUAUUGUCUUACCAAGACCACAAGCUCCGCGGCAAAUACAGCAACCGCCUCAGUUUGGACCUGUCUUCGUCCAUACAGAAUAUGUUGUGUCAACUAGACCUAUGGGUGCGCCUCCUCCCCAAUGGAACCUGUCAAAGCCAGAACCGGCAACGGUAAAUGAAGCGCAGGCGGGAAUGAGAGCUUUAGAACAACCAAAGCCAUAUCAGAAAUGUAUGGUAUCUGAUGCCAGAGGUAACGAGGAUCUAUCCCCUCAGAAGGUACGUAGCGUGUUUCAAAGCUAUUUUCAACAAUGGAUCGACAGCCUUCCCGGCGGUGGUUCUCUGCGUUAUCAAAUGGAAACUGGAGGUCCGGCGACGACUGUGAACGUCUUUGAAGGAAACAAGAAACUGAUGGGCAUCGACUUUACGCCUGCUUAUGAUAUUGGGGAGGAUUUGGUUAUCGCAAAGCCACAUCCUGACCUAAAGAACCAGGGGGAGUUAGGCACAGCAGCAGCAUUACAACGUGAAAAGUUUUGGAUGCAGUCUAACUGUAGAGAAGAGCGAGAAAUCAUGCGUCAAAUCGAUGAUGAUGACAACGGAUGCCGUAAAAAGGUCGUAAAGAUCUUAAAAGUCAUCAAGCUGAACAAUACCCAGCUACGUUGUCUCAGCUCAUAUUUCUUCAAGGCAAUCCUUCUUCACAUGCCGACGAGGGGAGCGCGCUGGGGUCACGAUGCGAUUGCAGAGCGCUUUAUAGAGAUGAUCCAACUUCUUGAGAGGAGCCUUAGGGAAAAAAAGCUUUUGAAUUAUUUCAACCCUAACAUCAACCAUUUUGCCGAAAAGGAUCCCGCAACACUGGAAAACUUGCAGGGAUAUCUUCAUCGAAUUAUUCAGAAGAAAGCAUACAUAGAUUUGCUCAAGUGAACCAGAGACAUAUUGGAGCUGCGACAUUUAUAGUGUAUAUAAACACACUUGACUGUUAUACCUAAUUUUGCUUCAAUACUCUGGACUAAUCCUUAUCUGUUGGAGAAUUGAAGUAGGGGGAGGACCACUGUUUUGAAGCAAGAUUACGUGUAUGGUAUACGUUUAUUCAAUUGAAUUUAAACAAAAAACAAUCAGAUAUAUAACCAUUUCAUAUGUCCAAUGUCAAUAUUAACAAUACCAGAGACGCCGUUUCGAAUUUCGAAGUUAUGCAGCAGAGAGAACAUAACCGAUUGUCAUAUGGUCGAUAUAUCCCCAGCAAGUUUAAAAAGCCGCCAUAAUUUAUAUAAAUUCUUGAUAAUGAUUUUACUCCAAAAAUAUUACUCUAAUUUCAAUAUCACAAUUUUUAAAUUUUGGUUAUUUCGAACCGUGUUUUUUCUAAAUACAUAAGAUAAUAGAAUCAAUUUGUGGUGAUGGAUAAAUUCGUUUUGAAAAAUGGGGAUAUUAUCUCUCGUUUUACAACCGAUAAUCUGAAAGCAUGACAUUUUAAACCCAGUUCGUCCAAUUCAGCAACUGUUUUGAAA
rnacentral:misc_RNA from 1 species